rnacentral:rRNA from 1 species
AUGUGGAAUACACAAGCGAAGAUGAACCUCCACAGAUGGCAGCAGUCCUGUAGUUGUGCAUCGAGGAAUUCUGCUUGGUGUACCACAUCACAACAGCCACAAAAUGGCCCAAGCGCCUCAAACAAUUCCUGCAUGAGGAGAAAUUGUACACAUUUGUCAGUUUUAGCAUUGGAGGCGACAAGCGGAUGCUGGAUAAGUCUGGUUUGGAGAUCAAUCCCAACAACUCCAUCGACAUGCAGUGCAAGUGGAAAGUUCCAACCACCAACAAAUACUAUGACUCCUUGGCCGAUGUUGUGGGGCGACAUCAUCCACCCAUUCUACAAAGGCAUGAAGAAGAAGAUCGAGAAGAAGGAAGACCACAAACUGUGGGGGACCAGCCCGCUGCCAGACAAGCUCAUCGAGUACGCAGGAAUAGAUGCGUAUGCCACGUGCAAGUCAUGGAAGACAAUUGAAAACAUCAUGAAAGGUUGGGACAUUUCAAAAGAGAAGGAGGUUGACCCCUACUACCACUGCAACUUCGCGGGAUGA